CCUACGGGCGGCAGCAGUGGGGAAUAUUGCACAAUGGGGGAAACCCUGAUGCAGCGACGCCGCGUGAGUGAUGAAGUACUUCGGUAUGUAAAGCUCUAUUAGCAGGGAAGAAAAUGACGGUACCUGAUUAAUAAGCCCCGGCUAACUACGUGCCAGCAGCCGCGGUAAUACGUAGGGGGCAAGCGUUAUCCGGAUUUACUGGGUGUAAAGGGGGCGUAGACGGCAGCACAAGUCUGGAGUGAAAUGCCGGGGCUUAACCCCGGAACUGCUGUGGAUACUGUGCAGCUAGAGUGCAUGAGAGGUAAGUGGAAUUCCUAGUGUAGCGGUGAAAUGCGUAGAUAUUAGGAGGAACACCAGUGGCGAAGGCGGCUUACUGGACUGUAACUGACGUUGAGGCUCGAAAGCGUGGGGAGCAAACAGGAUUAGAUACCCCUGUAGUC
rnacentral:rRNA from 1 species